rnacentral:tRNA from 1 species
GGUCCAUUGGGGUAACGGUGAGCCCGUCUCCCUUUCAAGGAGAUAGACCGAGUUCGAUUCUCGGAUGGACUG